CCUACGGGAGGCAGCAGUGAGGAAUUUUCUGCAAUGGGCGCAAGCCUGACAGAGCAAUGCCGCGUGAGGGAUGACAGCCUUUGGGUCGUAAACCUCUUUUUUCAAGGAGGAAGUUCUGACGUGUACUUGAAGAAUAAGCAUCGGCUAACUCCGUGCCAGCAGCCGCGGUAAUA
rnacentral:rRNA from 1 species